ACGCUCGACACCUAGGGACAGCAGUGGGGAAUAUUGCACAAUGGGGGAAACCCUGAUGCAGCGACGCCGCGUGGAGGAAGAAGGUCUUCGGAUUGUAAACUCCUGUUGUUGGGGAAAAAGAGGAUGGUACCCAACAAGGAAGUGACGGCUAACUACGUGCCAGCAGCCGCGGUAAUCUGAGCGGGCUGGCAAGGC
rnacentral:rRNA from 1 species